GACGAACGCUGGCGGCGUGCUUAACACAUGCAAGUCGAACGGAAAGGCCCUGCUUUUGUGGGGUGCUCGAGUGGCCAACGGGUGAGUAACACGUGAGUACCCUGCCCUUGACUUUGGGAUAACUUCAGGCAACUGGGGCUCAUACCGGAUAGGAGCUCCUGCUGCUUGGUGGGGGUGGGAAAGUUUCGGCGGUUGGGGAUGGACUCGCGGCUUAUCAGCUUGUUGGUGGGGUAGUGGCUUACCAAGGCUUUGACGGGUAGCCGGCCUGAGAGGGUGACCGGCCACAUUGGGACGCAGAUACGGCCCAGACUCCUACGGGAGGCAACAGUGGGGAAUAGUACACAGUGGGCGGAAGCCUGGUGUGGCGACGCCACGUGGGGGAUGACAGGCUUCGGGUUGUAAACCGCUUUCGUCUGUGACGAGGCGUGAGUGACGGUAAUGGGUAAAGAAGCACCGGCUAACUACGUG
rnacentral:rRNA from 1 species